rnacentral:rRNA from 1 species
GGGUGUGUAUACAUACCAGGGUGGAAGUAGGUCAUUGGGCGCGCGCGCAGUGCAAAGAGCGGGUUGGGGCAGAGGGAAGGGGCCUUCUGCUUAGUGCUCGUGUGCUAAGGGGGUUAAGAUUGGGAUCUUUGUCUCGCGUCCUCCCGGUCGGCGUUGGCCCUGUUUUCGCCUUUGGUCGGUUGGGUUCGGAGCUAAAGAGGUAGCGGCGCCGUCUUCGAUGCUCCAGGUCUUCCCUCGCGCUCUUCGAACGCACUUCCUGAGUUGGUACCGCUCGCGCCUAGACGACGCCUCCCUCCUCCUCAAGAUGCUCAGCGACAAGCUAAGGCGGUUUCCGCUACGGCGACGGCGGUUCUGCGCACCCGUCUACUAGCUCUCCUUCUAACUUCGGGACCUCCUGUACCGUUGGUUCCAAUCAUUGGCCUCCAGAGCGUCUACGAUACAAAAAUUUCGCAGGGAUUCCGCUGCGGAUCCGCUGCGGAUCCGCAGCUUCGCGAGGGGGAGGCGAAACCUUUUAGCUGGCGAAACCCGCGGAUCCGCAGGUUUCGCGGGCGGAUCCGCAGCGGAUCCGCGGUUUCGCGGGGGGGAGGGAUUCCGCCAUUCCGCAGCGGAAUUUUUGUAUCGCGUCUACCAACUUACUAGCGAACGACUAACUCGAGCAGGGAGCAGAAGUACAACUUCUUUAGUUUCCGGAGAAACGGGGAGGCGGUAAACCACUCCUUCGUGGUGACAGUCGUAAAACGUCCUGUUCACAACCACUCACCCUACGUAAGUCCUCGUAACUGUACCUGCAACUCCGUUCUAAAUACGUUGCUUACUUUGUUAGUAGUUUCGUCUUCUUAGAACACUUACUUCUACUCAGUUAACACGACUUACAAUAUAAAAACCAACAACAAUAUUACGAAUCUUGUACACACCACAGUUCUGAACCCUCAUUUUUAUUUUACCAUGAUCAUUAUAAAACCAACACAUUUUUAUUUUACCGUGUACUUCUAUUAAGUAGAUGAGAGUAGACAAACCAAACAUCAAAGCCUUGUGACUCGUGUAUAUCUAAUUUACUUAGUACGUUUACCUUUCUUUACCUUAGACUAUUUACAAACAACUUGACUCAAGUCAACAAUUUUGGUUGUUAAGUACGUGACGAAUAUAAUCAUUCAAGUUUAAUACAUGACGACUACCCGAAUACAUACUCAAUCGUCAAAUCGUGGUAAUAAGACUAUUUUGUUUCUUGUACGACAAAACUAGUUAAACCAAGAUGAAGCCUAACUCAUCCUUUUAUAAACGUUCACAACUGACACAAUACCUAGAAGGUAUACCUCAGGAUGAGUGACGAACAUUCAAGAUAGACAUAGACAAAUUAUGAACAAUCUAAGUUAUCAUGUCGGUCGAAUCUACGAGACGUCUUUCGUAUAUGAACUGAUACAAUAAGAACUUUUCUUUCAUAUAUGAACAGAUAUAGACAUAAUAAAACGACAACAAAUUCAAUCGUUUUUGGCACGAAGUGAAAACGUCCUUGCCUAGUCCCGGAAGUAACUUCUGUGAUGACUAUUUCUACACGAACACAACUUACAGGUCCUGGGUAAAGUCUCCAACGAUAAUGUACCACAAACGCUCAAAAUGUUACAUUGCAGAUGCUGGUGUCCAUGACACGUUCUACCUUUCGGUACCUUCUGUUGUUGUUAGUUCUUCGCAAGCCCCUGCCCACAACGGGGGUACUAGUGUAACCAAUCAAAGGACUCUUGUUUCUUCUUACCCAGUGUGCAACAGAGCACUCCUGGUCUUCGGGGUAUAAGGAACCGGCUACGCUAGCUCACACCGGUACUCGGGUACCAGUACGAGGACCCUCUUCGGUUUCAACAAAGAAAUCCAAAACGAAUCCUACAUGUGUCUACAUUUAAUUAAUGGUACGAAGCCGAUUUCUCUGCUUCCGUACGUUCACUACCCAGUGAAGCGUCGGUUCGUUCAUGACAUGGAAAAGCUCAAUUUGGAAUGGAAUGGCGGUCGAAUGACCACCACCACGGUCUGUUACCAAAAGUUGGCUGAAAACUAAACGUACCAAGUUUACUACGUAACUCUGGCACCGGCAUCAAACCUUCGCUACCUCCUAUA